AAGUCGUAACAAGGUUUCCGUAGGUGAACCUGCGGAAGGAUCAUUAAAAUUAUAGCAAACCGAGCGAUAGCGAGGUUUUGCGAUCAAAAUUGUAUUUAAAACCCAACUCUUUGAAUCAAAUAUAUAAUGUAUUUUAAAAAUAAAUAAAAGAUCACUUUCAACAACGGAUCUCUUGGCUCUC
rnacentral:misc_RNA from 1 species